UAACAGACGCCAUCUAUUACUCCGCGCGGUCAGACAGCAGGCACAGUCAGCCGCCGCAAGAUCUAUUAUAUUAAAGGCAUGGGAAGGACCGGACCCAGCUUAAAAAUAGCGGGAAUGAAAUGCGCCGCCGCUGAUGUUUGACCAGGCUGGGUCAGAGGCUCCGGGUCAGGUCUAGCCUAUGGAGAGCACGAAUCUGCAGGCCGCGAGUAGACAACUGCGAGCGUUAGUGCUAG
rnacentral:lncRNA from 1 species